AUGAAAUGAUGACCUUUUUCAGUUCUGCUUCUGAUAGUUUUGAAGAAAUCUAUACCAUAUUAUCUGAGCU